rnacentral:misc_RNA from 1 species
CGAGUUAUCUGCGAGUUGUUAUUACACUGUCUAGCGAAUAUGUUUGUACGUGCGUCUCACAAUAAUACUUAUUUAUUUACAUUUAUUUCAUUAUUUCAAAUAUAUUUGACGGAUUGCAACAAAAAAAACACGUGGCUACCGGUCUUUCGAAGGGAGCGUUCGUCGCCCCGUACGACCACCGUCCAUGGCUUCGACUUUUCUAAUCGCGUCUGGAAGGGUCCCGUGCUCCAUGCUAAUGCGUCCUCCAGCUCGACGAUCAGCAGACAAACGCGCGUUCACCAACUUGCAGGGCGUAACCGAACGACCAUUCCGAUCAUUAGAAUCGCGCGUCCUUACAUGCAACCGAUAAUGAAUACAUAGUUCCUACUGCGAGUUUGUAACAAGAUUGAAGAGACGAGGACGGAUGAUUCUGUACGAGAUUUUUGUUUGCAGUUCAUCGUUUUGGUAUACUUGUCUCGUGCAUGAAGGAGGAAGUAAGUUCAGGUGGUGAUUGAGAAGUUGAAGGCUUUGUACACUUUACGAAAACGUUAUUUUUAUUUACAUGGAAAAUAUAUAAUUUAGAAUAAUAUCAAACAAUAGUUGUAUGUAAUAAUUGUAUGGUAAUAUGAAACAAAAGUUGAAAGCUUCGUACACUUUACAAAAACGUUACUCUUAUUUACAUGGAAAAUAUAUAAUUUAUAAUAAUAUGAAACAAUAGUAAAAUAGAUCUUAAUUAUUCUGGUAGAAGUGCACUUACUUUGCAGUGGUAUUUCAUUUUAAUGUAUUUUAUUUUAAUGAAAAUAAUCUGUUUAUAGCUCGUGCAAAAAUUCUCGUGGGCUAACUGUAAAUUCCAGAAACGAAGACUUCUAAUAGAAAUAAACGGCCCAGUUCUCUUAAUUUUAAUGCUUUUAAUGCUAAUUAUAUUAUUUAUCACUUGAAAAAAUACAUAUAGAUCCUUAGCGCUUAUCACCUUCAUGAAUUAUUUAAAAUCCCG